rnacentral:rRNA from 1 species
GACGAACGCUGGCGGCGUGCUUAACACAUGCAAGUCGAACGGGCUGCCUGGUUUUCGGAUCGGGUGGUGAGUGGCGAACGGGUGAGUAACACGUGAGUAACCUGCCUCUCUCUUUGGGAUAACGUCGGGAAAUCGGCGCUAAUACCGGGUAUUCUGGCUUCCUCGCAUGGGGUUGUUGGGAAAGGUUUUUUCUGGUGGGGGAUGGGCUCGCGGCCUAUCAGCUUGUUGGUGGGGUGAUGGCCUACCAAGGCGGUGACGGGUAGCCGGCCUGAGAGGGUGUCCGGCCACACUGGGACUGAGACACGGCCCAGACUCCUACGGGAGGCAGCAGUGGGGAAUAUUGCACAAUGGGCGGAAGCCUGAUGCAGCGACGCCGCGUGGGGGAUGACGGCCUUCGGGUUGUAAACCUCUUUCAGUGCAGAACAAGGCUCUUUGUGGGUUGAGGGUAUGCGCAGAAGAAGCGCCGGCUAACUACGUG